UACGGAGGAUGCGAGCGUUAUCCGGAUUUAUUGGGUUUAAAGGGUGCGCAGGCGGGAGAUUAAGUCGGCGGUGAAAUUUUGCAGCUUAACUGUAAAAGUGCCUUCGAAACUGGUUUCCUUGAGUGUAGAUGAAGUAGGCGGAAUUUGUGGUGUAGCGGUGAAAUGCAUAGAUAUCACGAGGAACUCCGAUUGCGCAGGCAGCUUACUAAACUACUACUGACGCUCAGGCACGAAGGCGUGGGGAUCAAACAGGAUUAGAUACCCCCGUAGUCCCU
rnacentral:rRNA from 1 species